GAAUAUAAAAAUAAUAAUAAAAAUAAAAAUAAAAAUAAAAAUAAAAAUAUAAGAUAAUAAUAAUUAUAAAAUAUGAUAAAAAAUAUAAUAUAAUAAAUAACGGUAUAUUAAAAAAUAUUAAAGCUCUGAUGUCAGGCUAGAUUAAAUACUAUAUAGGGAUAUAACACAUGCAAAUCAAACGAUUAAUAAUAUGUUAUAAAUAAAAAUAUUAAUAAAGUGGUGUAUAGGUGAGUAAAAGAUAAAAUAAGAACUAUUAAUUAAUUUAAAAGAUUAAUAAAAAAUAAAUAUUAUAUUUAAGUAUAUAAUAGUUAAUAGUCAAGUUAUCCAUAGUAUAGGUAUUAUGUAGUUUAAAAGACAUACAUAGCCGACGAUCUAUAAUAAUUAAUUAACGUUAUAAUUAUCACAUCAAUAAAUAUUGAUAUCUAUAUGAUACAGCAGUGAAGAAUAUUGGACAAUGAUCGAAAGAUUGAUCCAGUUACCUAUAAUAACGAAAUUUUAAUAAAAUUAUUAAAAAAAUUAAUAAAAAUAAUAAAAAUUAAUUGGUAAAAAAUAAAGUUAUAAGACUAUGAGAAUAAUGAUAGUAAUAAAAACAAUAAAUAUAUAUAUUAAAUAUAUAUAAAUAUUGGUCUAAUAAGUCUCUGCUAAAAUCUGUGCCAGCAGUAGCGGUUAUACAGAGGAGGCAAGUAUUAAUCAGAUUGGUUUAAAGGAUCCGCAGAAUUUAUCAUUAUUUUUAUGAUAUAGAAUUAAUAAUAGUAACAAAUGAAUUAUAAUAGUAAUGAUGAAAUAUUAUAAUAAUUAUAGGACAGACAAAAUCGAAAGUAUUUGUUAUAUAUUAAUUGACAUUGAGGGAUGAAAGCUAUAAUAAUGAAACGGAUUCGAUACCCGAUUAAUUAUAGCAGUAAACGAUGAAUACUCAAUUAUAUAAUAAUAAAAAUAUAAUUAACGAGAAAUCUUAAGUAUUCCACCAGGAGAGUAUAGUUACUCAAUUGAAACCCAAUACAAUAGACGGUUAUAAUCAAUAGCAGUGGAGUAUGUUAUUUAAUUUGACGAUCCCCAAAAAUCUUACCACAUUUUGAAUAUAUUAAUUAAUAAUAAAUUAAUAAACAGGCGUUACAUAGUUGUCUUCAGUUCGUGCUGUGAAGUUUACGGUUAGUUCCAUUAACGAACGAAUUCCUAUAUAAAUAAAAAAAAAUAAAAUAUUUAUAAUUUACUAUUUAAAUGCAUAGUAAGAAUAGGGUUAAGACAAAUCCUUAUGACCCUAAUAAUGUGGGCUAUAGACGUACUAUAAAAAAAUAAAAAAAAUUCAAUAAAAUAAAUAUAUAAAAAUUCAAUAAAAAAUAAAACUUAUUUUAAUAUGUUGUAUAUAAAUAUACUAUAUUAAUAUGAAUUAUAUUCUGAAAUUCGAAUAUAUGAAAAAAGAAUUGCUAGUAAUCAGUUAUAAAGUAAAUAACGGUGAAUAUUAUUAAUUGUUUCGCACUAAUUACUCGUCACGCGAUAAAUUAUUAUCAAUUAUAAAAAUAUUAAUUAUUUUAAUUUAUAUUUAUUUUUCAAUAAAUUUUAAAUAAUUCUAAUUAUAUUUAAUAGUCGGUUAUAUAUUAUUGCGAAGUCGAAAUACAGUUACUGUAGGGGAACCUGCAGUGGGCUAUAAUUUAUCUAUUUUCAUAUUCAACACA
rnacentral:ncRNA from 1 species